GGUGAGAUGGCCGAGUUGGUCUAAGGCGUCAGACUAAGGCUACCGUAAUCUGAUCUCUUCGGGGGCGUGGGUUCGAAUCCCACUCUCAUCA